GAUGAAGAACGUAGCGAACUGCGAUAAGUAAUGUGAAUUGCAGAAUUCAGUGAAUCAUCGAGUCUUUGAACGCACAUUGCGCCCCCUGGCAUUCCGGGGGGCAUGCCUGUCCGAGCGUCAUUGCUGCCCUUCAAGCCCGGCUUGUGUGUUGGGUCGUCGUCCCCCCCGGGGGACGGGCCCGAAAGGCAGCGGCGGCACCGCGUCCGGUCCUCGAGCGUAUGGGGCUUUGUCACCCGCUCGAUUAGGGCCGGCCGGGCGCCAGCCGGCGUCUCCAACCUUCUAUUUUACCAGGUUGACCUCGGAUCAGGUAGGGAUACUCGCUGAACUUAAGCAUAUCAAUAAGCGGAGGA
rnacentral:misc_RNA from 1 species